rnacentral:rRNA from 1 species
GUGCCAGCCGCCGCGGUAAUACGGAGGGUGCAAGCGUUAUCCGGAUUUACUGGGUUUAAAGGGUGUGUAAGGCGGACUUUUAAGUCAGGGUGAAAUCCGAGGCUCAACCUCGGAACUGCCUUUGAUACUAUUAGUCUUGAAUUAUGUUGAGGUUGGCGGAAUAUAACAUGUAGCGGUGAAAUGCAUAGAUAUGUUAUAGAACACCGAUUGCGAAGGCAGCUGGCUAAACAUAUAUUGACGCUGAGGCACGAAAGCGUGGUAGCGAACAGGAUUAGAUACCCCUGGUAGUCCACGCCCUAAACGAUGAUUACUCGUCAUUUGUGAUACACAAUAAGUGACCAAG